rnacentral:ncRNA from 10 species
AUCGUUUAUCCUAUACGGACGGAAGUAGGCAUUUGCCGAAGAAACGCACC